rnacentral:rRNA from 1 species
UACGUAGGGGCCUAGCGUUGUCCGGAUUUAUUGGGCGUAAAGAGCUCGUAGGCGGCACGGUUAGUCAGGUGUGAAAUCUCCACGCUCAACGUGGAGGGGUCACCUGAUACUGCCGAGCUUGAGUCCGGUAGGGGAGUGUGGAAUUCCCGGUGUAGCGGUGAAAUGCGCAGAUAUCGGGAGGAACACCCGUGGCGAAAGCGGCUCUCUGGGACGGUACUGACGCUGAGACGCGAAAGCGUGGGGAGCGAACAGG